CACCGCCCGUCGCUACUACCGAUUGGAUGAUUUAGUGAGGUGUUUUGACUGGCGCCAAUAGUUGGAUGUAUUCGACUUCGCGCCGGGAAAUUUCCCAAACCAAAUCAUCUAGAGGAAGUAAAAGUCGUAACAAGGUUUCUCCGCAACGUACCUUUGUGGAAG
rnacentral:ncRNA from 1 species